rfam:Prunus persica cultivar Lovell chromosome G8, whole genome shotgun sequence.
GGGAAUGAUGAUACAUGCACUGGUCUCUGAGCAGUUUGUAACUGCGAUUAUUGAUGGAAAUGCAGCCUAGAAAUAUGACCC